GACGAACGCUGGCGGCGUGCUUAACACAUGCAAGUCGAACGGAAAGGCCCUGCUUUUGUGGGGUGCUCGAGUGGCGAACGGGUGAGUAACACGUGAGUAACCUGCCCUUGACUUUGGGAUAACUUCAGGAAACUGGGGCUAAUACCGGAUAGGAGCUCCUGCUGCAUGGUGGGGGUUGGAAAGUUUCGGCGGUUGGGGAUGGACUCGCGGCUUAUCAGCUUGUUGGUGGGGUAGUGGCUUACCAAGGCUUUGACGGGUAGCCGGCCUGAGAGGGUGACCGGCCACAUUGGGACUGAGAUACGGACCAGACUCCUACGGGGGGCAACAGGGGGGAAUAUUGCACAAUGAGCGGAAGCCUGAUGCAGCAACGCCGCGUGCGGGAUGACGGCCUUCGGGUUGUAAACCGCUUUCGCCUGUGACGAAGCGUGAGUGACGGUAAUGGGUAAAGAAGCACCGGCUAACUACGUG
rnacentral:rRNA from 1 species